UGACGGAGCAACGCCGCGUGAGUGAUGAAGGUUUUCGGAUCGUAAAACUCUGUUGUUAGGGAAGAACAAGUGCCGUUCGAAAGGGCGGCACCUUGACGGUACCUAACGAGAAAGCCACGGCUAACUACGUGCCAGCAGCCGCGGUAAUACGUAGGUGGCAAGCGUUGUCCGGAAUUAUUG
rnacentral:rRNA from 1 species